UGGUGGAGUGAUUUGUCUGGUUAAUUCCGUUAACGAACGAGACCUCGACCUGCUAAAUAGGACGCGGAAUCCUAGAUUCCGACGUGCUUCUUAGAGGGACUAUCGGUGUGUAGCCGAUGGAAGUUCGAGGCAAUAACA
rnacentral:rRNA from 1 species